rnacentral:rRNA from 1 species
CCUACGGGUGGCAGCAGUGAGGAAUAUUGGUCAAUGGACGCAAGUCUGAACCAGCCAUGCCGCGUGCAGGAAGACGGCACUAUGAGUUGUAAACUGCUUUUGUACGAGGGUAAACGCAGAUACGCGUACCUGUCUGAAAGUAUCGUACGAAUAAGGAUCGGCUAACUCCGUGCCAGCAGCCGCGGUAAUCCGGAGGAUUCAAGCGUUAUCCGGAUUUAUUGGGUUUAAAGGGUGCGUAGGCGGUCGGAUAAGUUAGAGGUGAAAUCCCGGGGCUCAACUUCGGAAUUGCCUCUGAUACUGGUCGGCUGGAGGUUAGUUGCAGUAGGCGGAAUGUAUGGUGUAGCGGUGAAAUGCUUAGAGAUCAUACAGAACACCGAUUGCGAAGGCAGCUUACCAAGCUACUUCUGACGUUGAGGCACGAAAGCGUGGGGAGCGAACAGGAUUAGAUACCCGUGUAGUC